UGGGUCGACCAGGCGGCCGCGUUGGACGGGUGCGAGACGCACCGGAUCCACCGAGGAACGUCCGGGCUCCGCAGGGCAGGGUGGUGGGUAACGCCCACUCGGGGUAACCCGCAGGCCAGUGCCACAGAGAAGAGACCGCCCGUCGGGGAGCCGAGGCGCCGUGACGGGUAAGGGUGAAACGGCGGUGUAAGAGACCACCAGCAUGCCGGGUGACCGGCGUGGCUCGGUAAACCCCACCCGGAGCAAGGCCAGACAGUGCGCGAUCGAGGGCUGCCCGCCCGAGUGCACGGGUAGGCCGCUGGAGGGCGUCGGCAACGGCGUCCGUAGAUGGAUGGCCGCUACUCGCACGACGGCAACGACGUGCGAUGACAGAACCCGGCGUAUCGGUCGGCCCAUCCC
rnacentral:RNase_P_RNA from 1 species